CCUACGGGAGGCAGCAGGGAGGAAUAGUGGUCAAUGGGCGCGAGCCUGAACCAGCCAAGUAGCGUGAAGGAUGACUGCCCUACGGGUUGUAAACUUCUUUUAUAAAGGAAUAAAGUGAGGCACGUGUGCCUUUUUGUAUGUACGUUAUGAAUAAGGAUCGGCUAACUCCGUGCCAGCAGCCGCGGUAAGACGGAGGAGCCGAGCGUUAUCCGGAUUUAUUGGGUUUAAAGGGAGCGUAGAGGGGUUGUUAAGUCAGUUGUGAAAGUUUGCGGCUCAACCGUAAAAGUGCAAUUGAUACUGGCAGUCUUGAGUUCAGUUGCGGUAGGCGGCAUUCGUUGUGUAGCGG
rnacentral:rRNA from 1 species